AAUCAACGCUGGCGGCGUGCCUCAGACAUGCAAGUCGAACGAUUAAAGCUCUCUUCGGAGAGUGUAUAGAGUGGCGCACGGGUGAGUAACACGUAAGUAAUCUACCUUUGAGUGGGGAAUAACAGUCGGAAACGACUGCUAAUACCGCAUAAUGCAGCGGCAUCGCAAGAUGACAGUUGUUAAAGGAGCAAUCCGCUUAAAGAGGAGCUUGCGGCAGAUUAGCUAGUUGGUAAGGUAAUGGCUUACCAAGGCUACGAUCUGUAUCCGGUCUAAGAGGACGGUCGGACACACUGACACUGAAUAACGGGUCAGACUCCUACGGGAGGCAGCAGUCGGGAAUUUUGGGCAAUGGGCGAAAGCCUGACCCAGCAACGCCGCGUGAAGGAUGAAGUAUUUCGGUAUGUAAACUUCGAAAGAAU
rnacentral:rRNA from 1 species